GAUAUUUGAUUGAUGUAGAAGGCAUGUGGCCAGAUGAUGCAAUUGAAUACUGGUGUUUUAUCUUUACAAGUUCUGCGUCGUUCCAUAAGAAAGCUGCUCUUCUUUUGGUUUCAUAAGAGAUGGUGAACAAUGUUGAUCUUCUUCCAUGUAAGGGUUUGGAGAGAUUCAGAGACUAUGAGGCUGCCUCCAUAUUUCUGAGGUCCUGCUCAA